rnacentral:rRNA from 1 species
GUAGGGGGCAAGCGUUGUCCGGAUUUAUUGGGCGUAAAGAGCGUGUAGGCGGUUAGGUAGGUCCGUUGUGAAAACUCGAGGCUCAACCUCGAGACGCCGAUGGAAACCAUCUGACUAGAGUCCGGAAGAGGAGAGUGGAAUUCCUGGUGUAGCGGUGAAAUGCGCAGAUAUCAGGAAGAACACCCGUGGCUAAGGCGGCUCUCUAGUACGUGACUGACGCUGAGACGCGAAAGCGUGGGGAGCGAACAGGAUUAGAUACCCUGGUAGUCCACGCCGUAAACGAUGGGUGCUAGGUGUAGGGGGUGUCGACUCCCUCUGUGCCGAAGCUAACGCAUUAAGCACCCCGCCUGGGGAGUACGGCCGCAAGGCUA